CUUCGCAGGUUAGUGCGCUAUAACUUACUAGGUUAUAAUAGACCAUAAAUAAGCACGCUUGAAGGAGUUACUUUUGAGUUUGCUAUAAAAAUUGCUCCAGCAAGACAUACAUCCUUGCAUUUCAAGGGCAAAACAAAUAAUCAACUCAAACCAUACUCUUCAUCGCAUCAACAACACAGGCCACAGAAUAAACGGCCACGCAUAUC
rnacentral:misc_RNA from 1 species